GCCGGCGAGAUGUAUGAAGGAACGAGCAUCCAGCACACUCUGAAGUUCGCUAUGCAGCAAAUUAAGGACCUCGACACACUAAUCGUCGGGUGUGCAGCAGGAGCAAUCACGACAGAAAGGUCUAAACUGCCGACUGAGUUGGAGUUAUCAGCUGGAUGCAAGCAGAUCGUGCUGGUGGAAAAGAUUGUCAGCCCCCCCCCCCCCCCUAGGACUGCACAUCAAACAGCGCCCCCCGCGGGACGGGAAAGCGCGGCGCCCAGUGAUCCAUCAACAGCGGUGAUCUCAUUCAUGGUCGUAUGUAUAUGCGCGAGCAUGACAGGGACCAGGCCGGAUACUAAGUGCACCGUUAAGUUAUUCCAAGCCGAUGACCUGGAAUGAUUACUGUCAUUCUUUAUGGACCGAAUGACAGCCCAUUGCUAUAUAUAUAUCCUCCUGUGUCUCAUCAGUGUGAGCGCGACUCCAUCAGGUUGGGUGAUGCCUAUUCUCUGAGAGUCGAGUAUUGGAAUAAUCUGUGUGAGUGCCAACAUCAAGUUGACAGACACCAUGUAUGCGUGCUUUGUGACUGCUGCCACAUAUACCUACGUAUGGCAUGCCCUGUAUGUGUUGAUUUCCCUUAAUAAUUAUAAUUAUUGUGUGUACAGUA